GUUACUGCCCCUUUUGCAAGACAACGACCCAGAAGUUCCUACCCUUUUUCUAGAAAUUUCUGAAUAAGCUCACCCUUGUCUGGGAUGGAAUUAAAACUCGCUCCUAAGCACAGCCAAAUCCUUCCCGGGCUAAGCCCAGUGUGGGGUUCGCCUGCCCUGCUUCAGACGGAUUGAAGAUCAGAUCAGAUACAGCGGAAGAAAGAACUAUUGGACUGGAAGCUUUAGGAAGAAGACACUUUUUUUUCUGGUUAUUGAAAUCUUCUUUUAAGAAGACACCUUAAGGAAUACUACACUGUCCUAUAAAAGAGCAAGAUCAUGUCUUUUGCAGCAACAUGGAUGCAGCUGGUGGC